GAUGAACGCUGGCGGCGUGCCUAAUACAUGCAAGUCGAGCGAACAGACGAGGAGCUUGCUCCUCUGACGUUAGCGGCGGACGGGUGAGUAACACGUGGAUAACCUACCUAUAAGACUGGGAUAACUUCGGGAAACCGGAGCUAAUACCGGAUAAUAUAUUGAACCGCAUGGUUCAAUAGUGAAAGACGGUUUUGCUGUCACUUAUAGAUGGAUCCGCGCCGCAUUAGCUAGUUGGUAAGGUAACGGCUUACCAAGGCAACGAUGCGUAGCCGACCUGAGAGGGUGAUCGGCCACACUGGAACUGAGACACGGUCCAGACUCCUACGGGAGGCAGCAGUAGGGAAUCUUCCGCAGAGGGCGAAAGCCUGACGGAGCAACGCCGCGUGAGUGAUGAAGGUCUUCGGAUCGUAAAACUCUGUUAUGAGGGAAGAACAAAUGUGUAAGUAACUAUGCACGUCUUGACGGUACCUAAUCAGAAAGCCACGGCUAACUACGUG
rnacentral:rRNA from 1 species